CCUACGGGAGGCAGCAGUGAGGAAUAUUGGUCAAUGGACGAGAGUCUGAACCAGCCAAGUAGCGUGAAGGAUGACUGCCCUAUGGGUUGUAAACUUCUUUUAUAUAGGAAUAAAAUGUUCCACGUGUGGGAUUUUGUAUGUACUAUAUGAAUAAGGAUCGGCUAACUCCGUGCCAGCAGCCGCGGUAAUACGGAGGAUCCGAGCGUUAUCCGGAUUUAUUGGGUUUAAAGGGAGCGUAGAUGGUUUGUUAAGUCAGUUGUGAAAGUUUGCGGCUCAACCGUAAAAUUGCAGUUGAUACUGGCAGUCUUGAGUACAGUAGAGGUGGGCGGAAUGCGUGGUGUAGCGGUGAAAUGCUUAGAUAUCACGAAGAACUCCGAUUGCGAAGGCAGUUCACUGAACUGCAACUGACACUGAUGCUCGAAAGUGUGGGUAUCAAACAGGAUUAGAUACCCGGGUAGUC
rnacentral:rRNA from 1 species